CAGAUCUGUAACUUCCUCUACACACAGACGAAAUCAGUCUCAUAUGGAGGUCGAUAUGCUGCUGGAGGGCAAAAGUCCUCUAAAAGCCAACAAAUCAGAUAUGUCAACAAAAAUUCCAGAUACACAUUACUUUUAGAACUAUAAGGUGCUGUGGGCAGAUAUUUAAAAUCACAUUGUCUCCCAAGAGACAAUUUGUUUUAGACAUAAGGACUGACCUGAUUUUGAAAUACUUUAGCAAGGGCUGAGGAUCCUGAGGGUUAGAAGAAAACAUGUGAGCAGCAGUGGAGCAUGAGUUACGAAACAGUUCUGGGAAUGUGGUCUUCCAGUAUAACAAGGGCCACAGGAGUGGAACUUGGGCAGUUGGGAGGGGGCAGAGGUGUGACUAAGCAGAAAUGGGGCACAGAAACACGGGAAGGUUUGUUGUCAAAGGCACUCAUUUUCCAAGUCCUUCAACUCAGCUCAGCUUGUUAUAUGAACCUUAGCUCUAAACCAUUUCACUACAUGUUAGCAUUUUUUCCUACUUGAUAGGAAGGAAAAGUGAAAUUGUGUGUGGUUAAAAAACUGAGAGAUAGUGGGCUGGGUGCGGUGGCUCACGCCUGUAAUCCCAGCACUUUGAGAGGCCGAGGUGGGCAGAUUACCUAAGGUCAGGAGUUCAAGACCAGCCUGGCCAACUAGAAACCCCGUCUCCAGUAAAAAUACAAAAAUUAGCCGGGCGUG
rnacentral:lncRNA from 10 species